CAUACACCAGAAAUAAUCUCCUUGUCAUUUGGAUCAGGGAUUAUUUGUUAGAAGACAACUACACCACUUGGCAAGACAAAAAGGACAGUGUCCUCUUUACAUUCAAACUCCAUGUGCCAAUAGAAAAAACUAAUAGGACGAUCAACCCAUGAUGUAUUUCUCUCCUACCAUCACAUGGUUUUGCAUCACUCAAAUCUUCAUUCAGAACUACA